rnacentral:rRNA from 1 species
UGCCAGCCGCCGCGGUAAUACGUAGGGGGCAAGCGUUGUCCGGAUUUACUGGGUGUAAAGGGAGCGCAGGCGGGUUAGUAAGUCAGUGGUGAAAUCCUACAGCUUAACUGUAGAACUGCCAUUGAUACUGCUAAUCUUGAGUUAGGAAGAGAGAGACGGAAUUCCAGGUGUAGUGGUGAAAUACGUAGAUAUCUGGAAGAACACCCGUGGCGAAGGCGGUCUCUUGGUCCUAUACUGACGCUGAGGCUCGAAAGCGUGGGGAGCAAACAGGAUUAGAUA